ensembl:lncRNA
GGGGCGGGGCGGGGGAUCCCGGGGUCUGCUGCUGCGGGACGAGCGGCCUCGCGGGCGGCUCCCGGUCCCCAGGUGUGCCCGACGCAUCCGCGCAGAGCACAGCCCUGCCCGUGGUCACUGCGGCCCCUUCAGGGACUGCUCUGCGUCGGAGGAGAAGUGCGACGCGCGCCCUGACGCAGCCUGCAGUGACAACCUGAUAUCCCGGCACGGUUUCAGAGUUACGAUGGUUCCUUGGCACAUGAUGGGGACUACUCCGUCAGCACAACCGCGGCACUGCGUGGCCCUCUGACGUGUCCGCCUCCAGCACACCGAGCCUUCCAUUUUGGAGAAGAGAAGGCCCCAGGGAGACCUCAUUGCGGCCUUCCAGUUCUUGAAGGGUGCGUACAAACAGGAGGGGGAACGGCUGUUUAUGAGGGUGGUUAGUGGUAGGACAAGGGGGAAUGGUCUGGUCUUAAACUGAGACAGGGGAGGUUUAGGUUGGAUAUGAGGAGGAAGUUUUUCACACACAGGGUGGUGACACACUGAACAGGUUGCCCAAGGAGGCUGUGGAUGCCCCAUCCCUGGAGGCAUUCAAGGCCAGGCUGGAUGUGGCUCUGGGCAGCCUGGUCUGCUGGUUGGUGACCCUGCACAUAGCAGGGGGGUUGAAACUGGAUGAUCAUUGUGGUCCUUUUCAACCCAGGCCAUUCUAUGAUUCCAUGAUUCCUCCAUCCAGUGGGCAGCACGAGGCCGCUCGCUGCCCUCAGACCCACACAGCACAAAGGGGAAAGCUCUGCAAUGGGCACUGUGCGCUACCUGCGGUUUUCACAAGGAACACUGGCCAGUGACUUAAUGGGCAUGAUUGUGGCUGUCAUUAAGGACAGUAUCAGAAUAGCCAGUGUGAACGACGGUGUUGAACGUAGUUAAUGUUUAGCAUUGUUCUUGAGCAGGAGAUAAAGAAAGGGCGAUUAAUGCAUCCCUCAGUUCUGGACAGGCUGAACCAUAGGGGUGCCGGGCUUUCUGAGCUCAUCUGGUGCUGAACGUUUACCAGUUUCCCGCAUUGCAAGCAGGCUGAGGACCAAAGUUCAGCGGCGUUUGGACACGGCCCCCGGGCCGCAGUGCUGGAGCGGCAGAGCUGUGGGUUUGCUUUAAGCCCGGGGAGGCUUUGUCAGCAACUCAGGUGGAAACCCGGCGUCCCGCUUAGCUGAACUUCAACAUCUUGAGAAGUAGCGGGCGAGGGGUCGGCGGGGAGUUGCUGGGCUGCAAUGCCCAUGCUGUGUGACCUUCUCCUACUGCGGGUGUAUGGAUGCCCUCCCAGCAGCAUCCCCUCUACAGAACAUCCCUCCUGCUGGUCCUCCUCCAGGCAGCCUGUGUUUGUGUCAUGGCUGAGGCCAAUGUGGCCCCGCUGCUGACCCGGAGCCCCUGCCAAAGUAGGAUGGGGUCAGCUCCUUCCUGACCCACAACGUGAAACAAAAUCUGCGAUGGGAGCAGCAGGGUGAGCAAGCCUUCUCUUAUUACCUUCAUUUCCUGGCUGCCACUGAGCUGAUGUGACGCCCUUCUAAAAACCUGCAUCCUUGGGAUGCAGAGACACUUGGGAACCCGAGCACAGCUCCAAGCCUCCUGUUCUGGCCUUGGGGUGAAGGCCAUGCCAUGAAGGCAGGCUGCUCCCAGAUGUCAGCCUGGCUGGGUGGGGGUUCUUUGGCAGAACCCAGACUUUAGGCUUUGAAACCCAUUCUUUUUAAGCCAGCCUGAGGAGGAGAUGGUCCUCCUUGUCUGUCUGCAAUCUCAGGCCCUCAGGUGUGCUCACAGGCCAUGGGUGUCCUUUUUGGCUGGGUCAGUGACUACUCCUUGUUGAGCCUUGAUUUUGCCAUCUGUGAUAAGUGAGCCACGUUCAUCUUUUCUGAAACCAGCACAGAACCACAGCUGAGAUUGAAUUUAACCCAAUUUGCUACAGGAGGGGGAGCUUAAAAGCGUGCCUGUCCCUUAGAGGACCAAAGAGGCUGGGUGCUUUUUGGGGAGCUCUGUUGUGUAAGGGAGCGGGGUCCAUGGGCUCCUGGCGUCCACCAAUGGCUGUGGCCUUCAGCUCGAUGCUGCUUGUUAAAAAUAUUGUCCCAGCUGUAUUAAUAUGACCAGACUGGAUUGCAUCUGAGCUGAACAUUGUGAGCCUAAGGCAGGACAUAAAUAUAGAAUCAAAACAGCCUGACACAAGAGUCAUCUGUCCUCUUGUGUGCGAGAAGUGAAGGGGAAGGAGGACGAGGGCAUUCUGGGGUGGUUCUGGGGCACUUCCAGGCUUUGCCCUGAGCCUCGGUCAGCCCUGCUCAGGGUCUUGGGGCACAAGGGACCCCGGCGUGCCCCUGGUCAGUCUCCAUGCCACAGGACUGUGCGCUCAGCACAUUUUUAUCCUGGGGUUACAUUUGCCUAGACAAAGUCUGCAAUCAUGAAUGACUAUUUGUUUGAUGUGUUUGCCUAACAGGAUUACCCUUAUCGUAAUGAUAGAGCAGCCCGGCCUUGGCACAGCUAAAGCCAAGGGCUGGGGAAGGGGGGGGGGGGGAGUGCGAGCCCCUGCCUCCCUUGCCCCAGAUGCAGCCUGACUCUGCUACCUUGGCAGCACCCAGACAGUGCUUUGCUGGCAUUUACUGCUCCGCUUUUGGAAGAGCACCCGUGGUGUGUGGUGCUGCCUGCUGACAUAGCGCCGGGCAUUUCUGUCUCUGCACCUGAAAAACAAAGAGAGAUAAAUCAAUCGUAUUAAAAGGUUAGAAAAAGGAUGCAGUGUUCUGCAAUGAAGACGCCUUGCCCAGGCUCCAAGUGAGAGCCUGACUGAACUCAGGGUGAAUCUGUGGCCCUCUGGUUCCGUGGGAAUCAAGCUGUAGGGAAUGGACCGAUAAGCUGCUCGCUUUCUGCAUCGUACACCGUGAACCUGCCUAAAACCAUUGCAAAAGCAUCUGUUUGUGUAUGUGUGAUUAUUCAAAUGUGCUGAUUUGAAAGGCUCAAGGCAGGCCUAGGCCGGGCCCUCCCCAGCAGUGCUCCCAGCAGCAGUGAGCCCAGCCCUGCUGAUGCCCACACCUGCUCCUGGCCGGGGACCUUCUCGCACUCACUGCUAUUGUCCCUGCCUGAAGCCAGCCUGCCCUCACCAGGUCCAGGUGCUAUUUGCAGAAGCAGAACCCACCGCCUGCUUCUUGCCGGUUCGCAAACAAGCAGGAUCCUCUAUUUAUAAUGUGCUAUAAUUGGCUCAGAUGAAACUGGUGGUUAUCAGGCUGCUGGGGCCCUCAGGGACGCUGAUGCCGCAGGGUAUGGAGGUCUGCAGUGUGAGCCGUGUGCUCACAGACCCCCGCUUUCCGGAGCACCCCCUAUUUGUCAGGGCUGUGCGGGUCUGCUUUUCUAAAUGAGGUUUGGUGACAAUGAGGCACUGCAGAGCCAGAAAGAGAGAAAUCUUCCCACCGCUCCCUGGAGAUGCUUUUCGUCAAACCCAUCAUUUCUAACCCCAAGGCUUUCGUAGCAGGGAUGUGAGCAGGGCUCUGCGGCCCCAAAACGACCCGCUCCGUCACCGGGCCUGAGCCGCUCGGGUUCGCUUCAUUUGAUGUAGCAUCUGUUUGGUCUUGAUGGGCGUGCGGCCAUCUGCAGCCCACGAGGGACCCGGCUGUUCGGACUGAAACUGCCCUGAGCUCAUAGCUGGACACAGGAUGAGCUGCCGGGCUCCGGGAAGAAGCCGUGGCUCUCUCACUUAGCAGCAGGCCCAUGUGUCGUCAUGCUGAGCCCAGGCCUGCACAUGGGCUGCUGUUGCUGUCUAAAUCCUUCUGCCGUUCGAACUGUGAAACAUGAUGGAUAUAUGGCCGAGCAGGGGGAUUAAAAAAAAAAAAAUAGUGGAUGCUUUGCAUAUCUUUGAGGGCUUAUUUUUAUUCCCGUUUGUUCGUUCUCUCAGCUCUUGGCUGCCGUCGGGUCUGCAGAAACAACAAAGGGGGGUGAGGGAAAGGCCAGCGCUUUGGGGGCUCCUCCUGUUGGUGGAGGAGCUGCAGGCAGCUCCAGCAGCACCUGCGGGCUCCAUCACGCGCAUUGGAACAGGAAAUCUGCUUGCUUUGUGUUUGAAAAAUCAGAUUGAUUUAUCAGUCAAAAGCCCUUUUUUUUUUUUUUUUGCUGUGAAGUGCUGCUUAAAAGAAAUCUUUCUCCCCCUUUCAUUUCAUAAAAGCUCACUCAGAAGUCUUCCAGCAGUGCCUGGGGCUGCUCUGCUGCCAAGAAAUCCCCCGGGUCUGUUGAUUAAGCCUCCCUGAUAUUUCCGGUUUCUCUCUAAUUGUUUUCUAAUGAAAGUUUCAAACCCGAGUCUAAUCAGGAGGUUGGGCCACAGAGAGCUCUCAGCAGGGCUCCUCGCUGGGGUGUUUCUUCUCCUAAAUCAGUAGCUGCCUCCUGCGCGGGGACGAGAAGGUGAUUUUCUGCACGUAAAGACGCCCACAGUGCAGGUGGCAGUGGCUCCAACUGCAGGGUUCUGCGCUAACAUCGCUUUGUGCAGCUCUCCAUUGCUUUUGCCACCGAAAUUACCGUUGCAGUCUGAUCAGGUUUGCCCGUUCGUUUGUCUUUUUGUGGGUUUGUCUUUUUGAGGGAUUGCGGCGUGGUUAUCCCCGCCUGAAUUCCCCGGUGCUUCUACUCUAUUGCCUGCAUCCCCGUGGCGUUCUUUGCUUCCCGCUGUGCCUCCGGCCCAGAAAACAGAGACACAGGAGAGCUAAAAAGGUUACGUAAAGAGCAGACGAAAUGGGUGACAAAGCCAAAAUAGCUGUAAACAGGAGCCUGGUAUAAAUAGAGAGCUGAGGAACACCCGAGCCCGGCUGCUGCGUGGCAGAAAGGUCGGCUCCGCUCCCUGACCUGUCCUGUGAUCCUGAGCAACACGUGGGGGCUGUGGCACCCGGGCACGGCCUCGGGCUCCUUCCUUAUAAAUGUCACAGCAAUGGGAUGGGGCAGGAAGGGUUGUGAGGGUGAGUUCUGUGCAGCUCCAGGGGGGGGAUUUUGUGCAAGCGACAGAACUUCCCUGCAUUUCAUGCAGUUCAUGCUAAGACAGGCUGCUCUUGCAACCCACGUGCUUUACGGAGCAGAAAAGACCUACGGCUUGGCCAGCAUUCAAGCACCUUUCUCUGUCGUCCUUGUGAUGUGUCAGAUAAGGGUUCAAGGUCUUUGGUUGCUUGCAUAGAACAAAAGCAGCUUUUCUUAAGUUGCUGCUGCCAUCCGUGGGCUCAGAUAAGAGGAGUGGUUGGGGGGGUACCACACUGUGUGCUGUGUGCUGUGUGCUGUGUGGUAAGGCCCCCCAUGGGUCCCAGCACGUGCCUGUGGCUGUGCCCAUGCUGCUGUGCUCCGUGGGGUCGUGGCCGAGUGGGGAGAUGGGGACAGCAGGCUGCUCCUGUGCUCAUGCUCAGGGUGAUGUCAUGUUCUGGGGUCCCCAGUAAAGAGAUGCUCUAAUUUGCACUCUACCGCAAAAUAAUCAUUUUAAUUACCCUACCCUAAACGCUGGAAUUUUUUCUGCCUUUUUAAUACAUGUAAGGAUCGUUUUCUUAAGCCAUCUGAAGCCGGGAUAUCCAGCAGCUCGCUUUUGUCACAUGAGGACCGCGCUAUAACCACCGGCGCUCCUUCAGCAGCCUUCAGCUCCUCCCGAGGUCUGCUCCGACCUGCCUUGCUGCGGCAGCAGUGCAUCAGCAGCCGAAGGUUACCCCCUGCAGUAAAUCUGAGGCUACUGCAGGUGUAGCGCGAGCCGGAUUGCAUUUAUUGGUGUGGAUCAAUGGCUCUCAUGCUGCCUUGUCUUAUCACUGUCGGACUGUGUAAAAAUUUGGUCCUCCUCUUGCUUGUAAGAGCCUUUCUUUGGAAAACUGAGCUCCUGGGCGAAGUGGCAGCCUUGGGCAUCACCCACGCCAGGGUCUGCCCAUGCUUCGGGAGCAUCUGUCCCAGCAGACCUGACACAACCUGCCCCAUCUUGGCACUGCAGCAAGGCUUGCCUGUCCCACCAAGAGUGGGGCUCAGAGCUUUGUGCCCCCAACACAUGCAGACCCCCACUCAGUGGGAUGCUAUGCUGGCAUGGCCCUCUGCACGGCCCAGUCCGUGUGUUCUCAUGCAAAAUGCAAUAAAUUCAGCAUUUUCAGGAACUUGGCUUAAUCAGGGUUUUCAAUCUUCUCCUUCGUUGCCUCCUAAUGUACCCUCCUAACAAUGAACUCCGGGUGUUGGGAGAGCGCCAAAUGCAGGGCAAAAGACUUUGUUUUUCUUUCCCAUAAUUAAAUGUCAUGUUCACUGCUGUCUCUCCUGCUUUAUUAAGUGUCCUGGCAUGGUCUAACACACCCGUUGGUGGAUUUCCAUAGGGUCUGUUCGGAGCCCACCUCCUGCUUAGCUCACAUGGAGCAGACGCGGGGCCCUAAGAGGGAGGAAGCAGCUUUCUAAUGCUAUCCUGGGAAAAACAAGCCUGCAAAACCUCUCCCCUGCCCCCACAUGUACUGUGACAAAUACAUUCUGUGCCACCAGGUGCUGUGACAAGGCGUGGUGGGAGGGGAGAGCUGGUGGGGCGAGCUGAGAUGGGGCUGUUGCUCUCCAGCCCUCCGAGCCCAAAGGCACCUCAUCUCCCUUGGGGUGACCUGCCUGGGGGAUGCCCUGCCUCUGCCUUCCCCACCUCCUCCCGCAUCCUUCUUUGCUUUGGAUAAACAGCCCUGAAAAGGGAGCCUUUGUUUCCAGCCGCAUCAGGGGAAUGGCUCCUAGUGGCACCGAUAACCCUGUUUGCAAACAAGAGGGCAGGCCUGACUACAGACAGGAGGCUCACAAUGAGUUGUUUCUCUUGCUUUCGGCACUUUGCCGUGUGAGAUGUGUGACCGACUGCACGUGAGGAGCCUGAGCAUUGGCCUGCCUGGGAGCUCAGCCCUCGGUGACAGUGGGGUCCUCCCAGUUUGUGCACGUCUGUGUCUGGGCCACAGAGACCCCUGCGUCCCCAGGUGGCCAAUAGAUGUGGGUUUUCUUUGUUCUUGGGUUGCCUGCUGAAGACCUGAACAUCACAGAAGCAUGGGAUCAUGAAGGCUGGAAAGGACCUCUAAGAUCACCCAGUCCAACCAUCCGCCCAUCCCACCAUGCCCACUGACCACGUCUUUCAGUGCCACAUCUCCACGGUUCUUGAACACCCCUGGGGACAGUGACACCCCCACCUCCCCGGGCAGCUGUGCCAAUGCCUCACCGCUCUUUCUGAGAGGAGACUUUUCCCAUUAUCCAACCUGAAUCUGGUGGACAGAAGUGCCACGUGCAUCUGUACAGCAGUGUUGGGACAGCUGACCAACACUGGGGUUGGCUAACGUGGGCUUCAGGCUUGUGCAACAGCUGGGAGAGGGCAGUCAGCCCAGCGCAAGGAAAAGCAAUGCUCAGCAAGAUCAGGCUGGGGUGUGUGUGCUUUUAUUUCUACCUUUGGCUGAAAACUGUUGGCUAAAAUGCGAAUAAAAAGUGCUGCUGUUAUUUUUUCAGCCUGUUCAAACUGCCACGAAAAAUACGACCAUUCUGUUCUUUUAUAACCUCUUAUAAGCCCUCAUUUUUAGCUUGCACUCCCCGGAUCCCAUAAAAUAAAUGGGCAGAAACACCAUAAAAAUGAACAAAAUCCUCAAACACGGCCAGUUCAUAUUCCAAGUGUCUUAUUAAAUGCUUAUUUAAAAAAAAAUAUAUAUAUCCCUCUCCUUACAUAAAUAUGUGAUUGUUUAUAAAUCUGUAACUAAUUUUAAACUAUUGGAAACGGCUUCACAGUGGAACGACCCUAUAGCAACAGAGCUCUGCACUGGGAUUCCAGCUGACU